rnacentral:misc_RNA from 1 species
UCAACCAUCAAGCAUGGCUUGUCAUUGGGCCCUUUUAUCACGUGGUGAUAGGUCCAAAAGAUAAUGAGCGGUGUCGUAAGGACUCUAUAUGCAACGAGCUUCUAAUAGCACGCAUCUAGUGGUCGUACGGUCCGGUCUACCCCCCUAUUUCUCAA